GAAGGGUCAGAACCGUUGGGCAGUGAAACAGGGGAAGGUUUAAUGAAUAAACUGUACUAAUUGGCUUGGUUAAAAAUUCUGAAAUUUUUAUGGUGAAAUGGUAUAUGAGUCUAGUUUCAGGGAAAAUUUACGGAACUCAAUUUGGAGCCCUGUAGCUCCAGAUAAAAAUAAAUUAGCGACUAUGACGCAGAAAAACAGUUUGCUGGAAAUUGCCUAAACAAUAAAGUUAUUCAUGAAUAAGUUUAUAUUUUGGUGUAGUUAUGGGAGUAAUUACUUAUUUAUCAUGUGUUUACUUACUAAGCUAUAUGCUUACUCGAUUUUAUUUUUCUCUUGGUUAUAGUGACUU
rnacentral:lncRNA from 1 species